rnacentral:rRNA from 1 species
CCUACGGGGGGCAGCAGUGGGGAAUAUUGGACAAUGGGGGCAACCCUGAUCCAGCCAUGCCGCGUGUGUGAAGAAGGCCCUCGGGUUGUAAAGCACUUUCAGUGAGGAAGAACGCCUGGUGGUUAAUACCCAUCAGGAAAGACACCACUCACAGAAGAAGCACCGGCUAACUCCGUGCCAGCAGCCGCGGUAAUACGGAGGGUGCGAGCGUUAAUCGGAAUUACUGGGCGUAAAGCGCGCGUAGGUGGCUUGAUAAGCCGGUUGUGAAAGCCCCGGGCUCAACCUGGGAACGGCAUCCGGAACUGUCAAGCUAGAGUGCAGGAGAGGAAGGUAGAAUUCCCGGUGUAGCGGUGAAAUGCGUAGAGAUCGGGAGGAAUACCAGUGGCGAAGGCGGCCUUCUGGACUGACACUGACACUGAGGUGCGAAAGCGUGGGUAGCAAACAGGAUUAGAUACCCUAGUAGUC